rnacentral:rRNA from 1 species
GGCCCUUCGGGGUACUCGAGUGGCGAACGGGUGAGUAACACGUGGGUGAUCUGCCCUGCACUUUGGGAUAAGCCUGGGAAACUGGGUCUAAUACCGAAUACACCCUUCUGGCUGCAUGGUCUGGGAGGGGAAAGCUUUUGCGGUGUGGGAUGGGCCCGCGGCCUAUCAGCUUGUUGGUGAGGUUACGGCUCACCAAGGCGACGACGGGUAGCCGGCCUGAGAGGGUGACCGGCCACACUGGGACUGAGAUACGGCCCAGACUCCUACGGGAGGCAGCAGUGGGGAAUAUUGCACAAUGGGCGCAAGCCUGAUGCAGCGACGCCGCGUGAGGGAUGACGGCCUUCGGGUUGUAAACCUCUUUCGCCAGGGACGAAGCGCAAGUGACGGUACCUGGAGAAGAAGGACCGGCCAACUACGUGCCAGCAGCCGCGGUAAUACGUAGGGUCCGAGCGUUGUCCGGAAUUACUGGGCGUAAAGAGCUCGUAGGUGGUUUGUCGCGUUGUUCGUGAAAACUCACAGCUCAACUGUGGGCGUGCGGGCGAUACGGGCAGACUGGAGUACUGCAGGGGAGACUGGAAUUCCUGGUGUAGCGGUGGAAUGCGCAGAUAUCAGGAGGAACACCGGUGGCGAAGGCGGGUCUCUGGGCAGUAACUGACGCUGAGGAGCGAAAGCGUGGGGAGCGAACAGGAUUAGAUACCCUGGUAGUCCACGCCGUAAACGGUGGGUACUAGGUGUGGGUUUCCUUCCUUGGGAUCCGUGCCGUAGCUAACGCAUUAAGUACCCCGCCUGGGGAGUACGGCCGCAAGGCUAAAACUCAAAGAAAUUGACGGGGGCCCGCACAAGCGGCGGAGCAUGUGGAUUAAUUCGAUGCAACGCGAAGAACCUUACCUGGGUUUGACAUGCACAGGACGUGCCUAGAGAUAGGUAUUCCCUUGUGGCCUGUGUGCAGGUGGUGCAUGGCUGUCGUCAGCUCGUGUCGUGAGAUGUUGGGUUAAGUCCCGCAACGAGCGCAACCCUUAUCUUAUGUUGCCAGCGCGUAAUGGCGGGGACUCGUGAGAGACUGCCGGGGUCAACUCGGAGGAAGGUGGGGAUGACGUCAAGUCAUCAUGCCCCUUAUGUCCAGGGCUUCACACAUGCUACAAUGGCCGGUACAAAGGGCUGCGAUGCCGUGAGGUGGAGCGAAUCCUUUCAAAGCCGGUCUCAGUUCGGAUCGGGGUCUGCAACUCGACCCCGUGAAGUCGGAGUCGCUAGUAAUCGCAGAUCAGCAACGCUGCGGUGAAUACGUUCCCGGGCCUUGUACACACCGCCCGUCACGUCAUGAAAGUCGGUAACACCCGAAGCCGGUGG